rnacentral:rRNA from 1 species
UACGUAGGGGGCAAGCGUUGUCCGGAAUCAUUGGGCGUAAAGAGCGUGUAGGCGGCUCGGUAAGUCCGCUCUGAAAGCCCGGGGCUCAACCCCGGGAGGCGGGCGGAUACUGUCGGGCUAGAGUCCGGAAGAGGCGAGUGGAAUUCCUGGUGUAGCGGUGAAAUGCGCAGAUAUCAGGAGGAACACCAAUGGCGAAGGCAGCUCGCUGGGACGGUACUGACGCCUGAGACGCGAAAGCGUGGGGAGCAAACAGG